rnacentral:lncRNA from 1 species
AGAGCUGGUAUACGAUGCCUCUCCAGAAUCACCUUGUUCUUUCUGGAUCUAUUCAGAAUCUGAAACUCCUAGAAAAGAAAAAUGCAAGAUGCAUGAGAUAUGUUCCUGACAAAAAAGGAAAAGAGAAUGAGGUGGAAUUCUGCUCCAGUGAUGUAGUGUCCAAUAACGCAAACCUGGUUGAGACAGGAUCUCACUAUGUUGCCUUGCAUGGACUGGAACUCCUUGGCUCAAGAAAUCUUCUUGCCUCAGCCUCCCAAAUAGCUAGGACUAUAUGCACAUGCUACUACACCUAGUGGAAAAUGAAGCACAGAGAAGUUCAGUGAUGGACCUCAGAUACUACCAGCAGAAAGCAGAAGAGCUAGGAUUUCAACUUAGGAUGUCUGGAUCCACAGUCUGCACUCCUACCCACUAUGCUACACUGCCUCUAACUAUGAGGAAGCAAGGGCAUUUUUUUUUUUCUGGUGACUAAAAAGAUAAGAGUUCAAGUAUGUGGCUCCUGAUAAUCUAACUUAUACAGCCUGGAAAAAUUGAUAGUUACUAUAUCCAGACUGUCUCAUUCAAUUAACAGUUUCUCAAGUAAUCUUCUAGUUACUGUCGUAUUUUAUCUGUAUCAACUUAGCAAACCAAGUCCAAAACAUUUUAUAUGUGUCUAUCUUUCCUGCUGUUCAUAUUAUUGAGUUAGCCAAAUAAAUUCAAUUUUUUUUCUACUGUUUGUUUCUCACAAAUUAUGACUGGCAUCUGUAUAUCUGGG